UAAGCCUGAUCAACAAGUGAAAAGAGUCAGAUAAGAGGAAAGAGUUUGAAAACUGAUUUGACGACCACUGCUGAAUUGGCCUGCUAAGAGGAAGAGGCACUAAUGAUUCCAGAAGAGGAAGCCAAAGAAGAAGACCUACACAGACUUUGAAAUGGAUCUCUCAAUUGCCAUGAUGACCAAGAUAUUCAA